rnacentral:misc_RNA from 1 species
GCGGAAGGAUCAUUACAGCGAAGCGGCGCGAGCCGCCUUUCGAACCACCGCGUACCGAACCCCCCACGUUGCCUCGGCGGGCGCCGGGCGCCCCGCGCCCGCCCCGCCGAACGGCCCCCCAGCAAGACCCCUUCCGUCGAGAUGGCGUCGUCUGAACCCUCCGGGGAAAACGUUUCUGAAACGAAAAACACAACUUUCAACAAUGGAUCUCUUGGCUCCGGCAUCGAUGAAGAACGCAGCGAAACGCGAUAGCUAGUGUGAAUUGCAGAUUUCAGUGAAUCAUCGAGUCUUUGAACGCACAUUGCGCCUCUUGGUAUUCCUCGAGGCAUGCCUGUUCGAGCGUCGUUACGCCCCUCAAGCGCGAGCUUGGUGUUGGGGACCGCCCCUGAGACACGGCGGCGGCCCCGGAAUGCAUCGGCGGUGCUGGUCCCAGCCCGGAGCGCAGCAGACAUGCGGCUCCGCGGGCGGGGCCGGCGCCCGCCGGACAAACGACGAGACCCCUCCACAAGUCG